GGAGAUGUAGUAUAACGGCCAGUACUCUUGACUGUCCAUCUUGAGAUCCGGGUUCAACUCCCGGCAUCUCCGCCA
rnacentral:tRNA from 1 species